GCCCUCGAUGGCUCAGAUGGAUAGAGCGUCUGCCAUGUAAGCAGGAGGUCCCGGGUUCGGAUCCCGGUCGGGGCA
rnacentral:tRNA from 1 species